ACAGUUGUGAGGCAGCAUUGGAACUAGGACUGGAAGGACCUCAACCUCCUCCCAGAGUGAAAUCAGAGCCUCUCAGCAUUAAUGUUAACUACCCUCCUGACUCAUUCGACCCUCAGCAGGAGGUCGUCGAGCUCAAUGAUGGUGAUAAGAUCACGCUUAAUUGCUCAGUAGGAGGAAAUCCUCCACCUCUGUACACCUGGAGCUCACUGCACCUGCAGGAGAGUGACGAUAAUCAGCCGCUUUUCACAGCUUCUUCCUCAGGCACUUACACCUGUACUGCGUACAAUUUACUGGGCAAAUCAAGCAAGCAGUUCAUCGUCAAGCUCAAAUCCAAAGGUGUUUAGAGUCUUCCUGGUGUUUAAACUGGAUGGAUUUACAGAUGGUGUGGAGACCUCACGAAGACGUCCAAACACACCAGAGCGCGGCAAUGAAUUUUUUUUUUUUUUUUUACCUAUACAUUUUCCCUGUAAUUAUCACACACAUGAAUAUUUCUAACAUUGUGUAUAAUGUCUAUGAUAGUCGAUUUAAUGUCUCAGCUUGUUUAACAUUUUUCAACGUAUUUGUAAAAUAAAAUGAGCACAUAGACCCCUGGGGUUUUUUUAAAAUCCAUUUUAUCUGGUAGAUCUACAUACGGGUUCACAUUGUUUGCAGGGGAGCUGGUAUGAAUUUUGGACCGUUUUCCUUCUCCUGGACAUGUUUUGUUCCCUAGGGCUCACUUGGAUGCUUCUUCACUCAGGGCCACCCUUGAGAAAUUCUACUUCAAAGUAUAGACUCUGUGUCAAAAUCCAGCAAAACGCUGUACUCAAGUGAAAGUAAAUAAAGUUACUUUAAAAUGUACUCAAAGUACUAAAAAGUGAAAAGUAAAUGGUUUUUAAUUGACGGAAUUAAGUUGUGGCAUGUUUUUA